GGAAGUGACGAGAAGGAGCAAGCCAGAGGACAGGCGCCAGCCCUGCACAGGCCCUUGAAAAGGAUGGACUGGCGGUGCUGGGAGCAGCGAGAGGGUCAAGGGGGCCAGAGCACUGAGUGGGAGGGGCGAGGCCGAGCGUGAGAAGAGGGCUGCGGGCAGGAGGAGAAGCUGUUUCCUGGCCCAGCUGCCCUCCUGGGUCCUGACCUCUGAGACUGAAGUCCACUGGCAGCAGGUGGCUGGUGGGGGACCAGAGAAAACACAGAGGGUGAGCUGGUGCUGGAAGGGGACUCUCAGGGCACCUGUGUGUCGAGCCUGCCAGGCUGGCCACCCUGGGCCCUUCUCUCGUGUUUCCAGGGAAUGCCGUGAGGGUCAGAUGGGGACAUGCACUCUGUUACAGAAAACUCAGGGACCGAAAAGGCUGCCAACAGCUUCCCCAAACAGAGAACAGUGUGAGGAGCCUCGGAGGGAGACAAGAGUUCCAAGGAGACACACAGCAGACCCGGCAUCCCGCCUCAACUGCAGGAGAAAUCGAGGCAGAGAGCUAGGUCACAGUCUCAGUUGGACACACCACAGCUCCACCCCCUCUCCAGAGCUGCAGAGAGAGCAAGAAUUGGGUCUGGCACCUGCCUCGUCCGGGUUGGCAGAGAUGGAGCAAUCCAGCGCAGCGGAAACCCCUCCCGGGUGCCCUGACCUUCACGCCUGGCUCCCCUCGUCCAGAUCCACCAUCCCUUGGCUGCCUGCCUGCCCUUCCCAUGGACUGUACCACCUCCCCGGCCCGGACCAGCAAGACAGAGCCUCAGUGUGAUGGGGUUCCGGGCCUCCGAGAGCACCCCUGUUUCCAUGUGCAAUGCUCUUCAGGAGGAGCGUUAU